CAUCGUCAAAUAGAAAAUCACCACCGUCAAACUAAAAAUCACCAUUGGAAAACUAAAAAUCACCGCUGGAAAAAUGAAAUCCACUGUCGGAAAAUGAAAAAAUCACCACAUCACCGCCAUUUACAGAUCACCACCACCAUCUACAGACACCCAAAUAUGAAAAAUCACCAACUACAAAGCAAAAUCAGCACCAGAAAACAAAAAUCACCACUGUAAAACUAAAAAGCACCACCGUAAAAAUAAA
rnacentral:lncRNA from 1 species